rnacentral:rRNA from 1 species
CCUACGGGAGGCAGCAGUGAGGAAUAUUCGUCAAUGGACGCGAGCCUGAACCAGCAAAGUAGCGUGAAGGAUGACUGCCCUACGGGUUGUAAACUUCUUUUAUCAAGGAAUAAAGUGAGGCACGUGUGCCUUUUUGUAUGUACUUUAUGAAUAAGGAUCAGCUAACUCCGUGCCAGCAGCCGCGGUAAUACGGAGGAUCCGAGCGUUAUCCGGAUUUAUUGGGUUUAAAGGGAGCGUAGAGGGGUUGUGAAGUGAGUUGUGAAAGUUUGCGGCUCAACCGUAAAAUUGCAAUUGAUACUGGCAGCCUUGAGUACAGGUGAGGUAGGCGGAAUUCGUGGUGUAGCGGUGAAAUGCUUAGAUAUCACGAAGAACUCCGAUUGCGAAGGCAGCCUACUAAACUGCCACUGACAUUGAGGCGCGAAAGUGUGGGGAUCAAACAGGAUUAGAUACCCCUGUAGUC